AGCAAACAGGAUUAGAUACCCUGGUAGUCCACGCUGUAAACGAUGAGUACUAGGUGUCGGGGGUUACCCCCUUCGGUGCCGCAGCUAACGCAUUAAGUACUCCGCCUGGGAAGUACGCUCGCAAGAGUGACACUCAAAGGAAUUGACGAGGACCCGCACAAGUAGCGGAGCAUGUGGUUUAAUUCGAAGCAACGCGAAGAACCUUACCUAAGCUUGACAUCCCAAUGACAUCUCCUUAAUCGGAGAGUUCCCUUCGGGGACAUUGGUGACAGGUGGUGCAUGGUUGUCGUCAGCUCGUGUCGUGAGAUGUUGGGUUAAGUCCCGCAACGAGCGCAACCCUUGUCUUUAGUUGCCAUCAUUAAGUUGGGCACCCUAGAGAGACUGCCAGGGAUAA
rnacentral:rRNA from 1 species